rnacentral:rRNA from 1 species
UACGUAGGGUGCGAGCGUUAAUCGGAAUUACUGGGCGUAAAGCGUGCGCAGGCGGUUCGUGAUGUCUGAUGUGAAAGCCCCGGGCUCAACCUGGGAAUGGCAAUGGAUACUGGCGAGCUAGAGUGUGUCAGAGGAUGGUGGAAUUCCCGGUGUAGCGGUGAAAUGCGUAGAGAUCGGGAGGAACAUCAGUGGCGAAGGCGGCCAUCUGGGACAACACUGACGCUGAGACACGAAAGCGUGGGGAGCAAACAGG